UACGUAGGUGGCAAGCGUUGUCCGGAAUUAUUGGGCGUAAAGCGCGCGCAGGCGGUCUUUUAAGUCUGAUGUGAAAGCCCCCGGCUCAACCGGGGAGGGUCAUUGGAAACUGGGAGACUUGAGUGCAGAAGAGAAGAGUGGAAUUCCACGUGUAGCGGUGAAAUGCGUAGAUAUCGAGAGGAACACCAGUGGCGAAGGCGAGUCCCUGGACAGUUCCUGACACUGAGGCACGAAAGCGAGGGGAGCAAACAGG
rnacentral:rRNA from 1 species